GACGAACGCUGGCGGCGUGCCUAAUACAUGCAAGUCGAACGCAGUGGGGACGGGUGAGUAACACGUGGGUAACCUGCCAUCAGAGGGGAUAACACUUGGAAACAGGUGCUAAACCGAUACUGAUGGAUGGACCCGCGGUGGAUUAGGUAGUUGGUGAGGUAACGGCUCACCCAGGCCACGAUUCAUAGCCGACCGGAGAGGGGGACCGGCCCCACUGGAACUGAGACCCGGCCCAGCCUCCUACGGGAGCCAGCAGUAGGGAAUCUUCGGCAAGGGAAGAAAGUCUGACCGAGCAACGCCGAGGGAGUGAUGAGGGUUUUCGGUUCGUAAAACUCUGUUGUUAGAGAAGCGGUAUCUAACCAGAAAGCCACGGCUAACUACGUGCCAGCCGCCGCGGUAAUUC
rnacentral:rRNA from 1 species